UACGUAGGAUCCAAGCGUUAUCCGGAAUUACUGGGCGUAAAGAGUUGCGUAGGUGGUUAUGUAAGCGAAUAGUGAAAUCGUGUGGCUCAACCAUACGGCUGUUAUUCGAACUACAUGACUUGAGUGCGAGAGAGGUAACUGGAAUUUCUAGUGUAGGAGUGAAAUCCGUAGAUAUUAGAAGGAACACCAAUGGCGAAGGCAGGUUACUGGCUCGUUACUGACACUGAGGCACGAAAGCGUGGGGAGCAAACGGG
rnacentral:rRNA from 1 species